CUUAGAUCACUUGUCAUCUGAUAUACUUGUUUUUCAAAUUAUAGGUUGAAUUCAUAUCCUGUCUUCUUCCAUGGGAGAUUUUCACACAGCUCCAACAUGUGGAAGGAAAGGGAGAAGUAAAGCCAUGCUCUUCUGCUGACAAACCUCAGUUGCUGCCAUCAUCACCAUCAGAAGAAGAAACUUCAAACUUACAACCUUAGCAAUUUUAGUACUUUGUACGUUGGAGUGGGCACCCGAAGUUUGACGUUGCUUACUGUAGCCUGCAGAGGGACUGGCAGUCAUUAAUAAUUGUAAACUGUUAGGCUUCCUUUUUGGAGUGUAGGUGAUGGAGACAAUUUUCCUUCCAGACUUUGUAUUAAUUCUAUCUGGUUCCUAAUUUUCUCUUCUCUACAUACUGGGCACAUGUGAAAUAUUUCUUGUGGACUGGCAAGGGAUACCUUUAGCAGCCUCUAGUCUAGAGCAGGGGUUGGCAAACUGUGGACUUGGGGCCAAAUCUGGCCACCAUCUAUUUUUGUACAGACUCCAAGCUAGGAAUUUUUUUUUCUUUUUGAAACAGAAUCUCACUCCGUCGCCCAGGCUGGAGUGCAGUGGCACAAUCUCGGCUCACUGAAAGCUCUGGCUAAUUAUUUUUGUAUUUUUUUAGUAGAGACGGGGUUUCACUGUGUUAGCCAGGAUUGUCUCGAUCUCCUGACCUCGUGAUCCACCCGCCUCAGCCUCCCAAAGUGCUAGGAUUACAGGCGUUAGCCACCGUGCCCGGCCAAGAAUUUUUAAAUUAUUGGAAAAAAAUAAUAUUUCAUGAGAUGAAAAUUACAUAAAUUUUAAAUUUCAGAGCCCAUAAAUAGAGUCUAUUGGAACAUAGCCACACUCAUUUAUAUCUGUAUUGUCUAUGGCUGCUUUCACACUACAACAAGGUGAGCAGUCACAUAUAACCUGCAAAGCCAAAAAUACUUACUUUUUGGUUCUGUACAGAAAAUUUUUUCCCCCAGCCUAGCACAUCAGAGAAGGUCUGGGUUUCAGAUAUGUCUACUGUUUUCUGGAGCCAUCUCUAAGCCCUAUGUGUAGAGAAUGCCUUGUGUGGGCUGGCUUUGGAUAUCUAUUGUGUUUUUCUAAUUCUUUUUUGCCUUUAUUGAUGAAGAAAAACUGGAUUAAGCCUGGAGUCCUAUAAAAAUAUUUCUAAUCAAUGAUGGAGAGACAUAAUCAAUAACUCUAGUCACUGGUAGGCAAUCUCAUCUACCAGUGUUUCUAUUUCUACAAAAAUAUCUGUUCCUUUCUUGAUCUCUCAAGGCAGAAUAAUGAUUACCACCUUCCAUCUUGCUGGUCUGGCCUAAAACUAGCACGGGUCCCCAUGUCAUCUCGUGUUAAUACAGUCCACACUGGGCUACUGUAGAUGAAUGGGUCUCAAACUUUAUUGUCUAUAAGAACCACCCAGAGGAUUUGUGAAAACAGAUUCUGAUCCAGUAGGCCUGGGGUGGGGCCUGUGAAUUUGCAUUUGUUACAAUUUCCCUGACUGUGCUUAUGGUGCUGGUCUGGGGACCACACCGAAUAGCGGUGCUCUUGAUCCCUGGGUCCAUCUGAUCUGAGCUGGGCUACCCACUGGCUCCCAUGACAGAGAGGAGAGUUUCAUGGGGUAGAUCUAUCCUUUUACCCACCCUUCUUAAUCUGGAAAAGUCUUUCUCCACUCAUACAAUUAUUUGUUGAGCACUUACUAUGUGCACAAUUCUAAAGAACUUAAUGUCUUAGUUGAAAGGCCUCAGCAUAUACUUUCAAAGAAAAACAAACCACUCUCUGCUGAGAAAGACUCAAUUUAAAAGUUGCCACCUAGUUUUAAAUCUAGAGGUGGCUUUAAAAGCAUGUGGGAGAUACUAUUUAUUCUAGGAAGAAUCACUUAAUGACCCUUCUUAGUUAUGUAAAUACAAGCCAAGUAGACACUUAUUGCCCUGGAAAGAAAGAAAUUAUAGGACUUUUUUUUUUAUGUUGACAAAGCGUACCUCUUUCAAUGUUCCUUUUCAUAAAGGUGGCAAAAAAGGGCUGGACACAUUUGCCGGGACCUUGAUGGCUUCAUGGGGGAGGCUUGUUCUAACAAAGCAGAGGACUGAGUCUGGCGGCCGUACCCCCAGCCCAUGGUGCAUAUUUUGGCAGCAGCAGCUGAAAAAGUGGGUGUGAGUUAAGGAGUUUUAGCUUCAAAGCUAGAUUAAAACUAGCUUUUGCCUUUUGCUGAGGCCUAUGUGGCGAAGUGUAAGUACAGGUGAGCAUCCCUGGUGGGAAAAGGUUUCCUGAGGAGCUGUUGCUGCAAGGAGUGAGUCAUCACAACAUGUGUGAGGAGCACCUGUUUUCAACUGGGAUCCCCUGUGACCUUGACAGACCUAUGACACCAGAAAACAAGGGGCCUAUUUUGUUCAAGUCAUGCCAGAUGAGGUGAUAUGUUAAUCAUAUUACCAUAUGAGCAUAAAAUGGGUAGAAGAUACAUUAGAUGGACGGAUAGAUAGAUAGAUAGAUAGAUGAUAGAUAGAUAGAUAGAUAGAUAAACGAGUGGAUGGAUAGGUGGAACAGGAGUUUGGGAAAAUGGAGAAACUAGAAGUUUCUGCAUAUCAUUUUGAAGGGUUUCAUUGAUUACAUGAAAAAUGUCAUUUUUGGACAAUAUGUUUGAUUUAGGGGAAAUAUCAACACUCACAGAGAAUUAUCUAAGUAAAUAUGUUGGGUAACCAGUGUAACAAAUCCUCUCUUGUUGGGAGGGAGUGAAAAACCAGUCCUUAAAGUGACACACAUGAUUUUUAUGUACUUCUAUGAAUUCAAAAGAAGAGAUUUACCUGAACAGUUUUAAUCAAUGUGGGAUAUCUUUGAAAUAAAAAUAUGAUUUACUUUUAAGGCUACUUAUUCAAAGUUUGUUAUAUCUUUUUCUUUGAAAUGUGGU
rnacentral:lncRNA from 1 species